GGAGCUGAGCGUUUACUGGCCGUUUACUGGCGUUUACUCCAUGAUGCCUGCAUGGAGUUCACAGCAGAUAUUUUCUCUUUGCACCCUGAUAAACAUCUGCUGUUGCCUAGGAUAGAACUCUGAACCUUCCGAGUGGGAGGUGAGCAUCUUCACCUCUAGGCCACUGUACUGCUCUGCUCCUUGUUAUUAACUUCUCUAUAAUAUCAUCGCCUAUGCUGAUUUUUCUGUUGUUUUUUUUUAUAUCUUUUUUUUAUUCAUGCACCAACAAAGAACCCAUUAUCAAUCUCUGUUGGGGUACAAUCUCUGUUGCCCCCCCCCUUCCUAGCUAGUACAGCCUAAUCACUAUGCUCAGGUUACUUGAUAUUCUUUUUGUGAAGCUACCCUUGUGUGUGUGUUUCCUCCUACUAGGUCUGGAAGCUGCCAGUGAUGCAGAAUGCUAAGAGGAGUGCUUAGCCAUGUGCAUAUCUCAAAAGAGCUGACAUAAUUAACCCAGCUGCCAACUGGCUAUUGACAGUUCAGGAUCCAGCAGAUCCACUUUUCUAUUUCUCCGGGAUUUUCAGAGAUCUUGCUAGCUACGUUUUCCAGGGGAGUUCCUGAAUGGAAGAGAAUUGCUGGAAGGCAGCAGCACCUGAUUCGGUCCUUUGUGACUGCACUGGCCAAAAAGAAAGAGGAAGAGAAGAGGAUGCAGCAAGAAGAGAAAGAGGAAGUAUCUGUGUGAAGCAGAUGCAAUUGUCAUGUAGGUCAAUUCUCCAAUGGAGAGGCAAACUGAAGUCAAGUGGAGGGGAAGAAUGACUAAGGCCUUCCUAGAAUAGCACUGAGAAUCAAAGGAAGGUUCAAGCCUACAAUCCGAGAGAGACCUAUCUCCUGCUGACUGUUUGCAUCACCCUCAGAGAAAAUGGAAGGUACCUCUCUAAUAAGGAAGGAUCUCGAAAAAGUCUAAUUGUUCAUGGAAAUCAGCAAGAAUCUAUUCUGGCCUCUGACCACAAUGUUCUGGCUUCAGGCAAGGGCUAUAUUACUGCUUGGAAAUAUAGCCAAAUUAAAAAAUAUUAAGAUUUUACAUGCCACAAUAAUCUGUUUAAAAAGCAAACAAGAUU